rnacentral:rRNA from 1 species
AUUGAACGCUGGCGGCAGGCCUAACACAUGCAAGUCGAGCGGAUGAAGGGAGCUUGCUCCUGGAUUCAGCGGCGGACGGGUGAGUAAUGCCUAGGAAUCUGCCUGGUAGUGGGGGAUAACGUCCGGAAACGGGCGCUAAUACCGCAUACGUCCUGAGGGAGAAAGUGGGGGAUCUUCGGACCUCACGCUAUCAGAUGAGCCUAGGUCGGAUUAGCUAGUUGGUGGGGUAAAGGCCUACCAAGGCGACGAUCCGUAACUGGUCUGAGAGGAUGAUCAGUCACACUGGAACUGAGACACGGUCCAGACUCCUACGGGAGGCAGCAGUGGGGAAUAUUGGACAAUGGGCGAAAGCCUGAUCCAGCAACGCCGCGUGUGUGAAGAAGGCCUUCGGAUUGUAAAGCACUUUAAGUUGGGAGGAAGGGCAGUAAGUUAAUACCUUGCUGUUUUGACGUUACCAACAGAAUAAGCACCGGCUAACUUCGUG